AUUGAACGCUGGCGGCAUGCCUUACACAUGCAAGUCGAACGGCAGCGGGCCUUCGGGUGCCGGCGAGUGGCGAACGGGUGAGUAAUGCAUCGGAACGUGCCAUUGAGUGGGGGAUAACGUAGCGAAAGUUGCGCUAAUACCGCAUAUUCUGUGAGCAGGAAAGCAGGGGACCGCAAGGCCUUGCGCUCUUUGAGCGGCCGAUGUCAGAUUAGCUAGUUGGUGAGGUAAAGGCUUACCAAGGCGACGAUCUGUAGCGGGUCUGAGAGGAUGAUCCGCCACACUGGAACUGAGACACGGUCCAGACUCCUACGGGAGGCAGCAGUGGGGAAUUUUGGACAAUGGGGGCAACCCUGAUCAGCCAUGCCGCGUGAGUGAAGAAGGCC
rnacentral:rRNA from 1 species